GGGCCCGUAGCUUAAUUGGCAAAGCCGCUUUAUCGUCUUUUUAAGACAAUCACGCAACUUCAUGCAGGUUCAAACCCUGCCGGGUCCA